UACCUGCAGCCCGAGUGGUGGCCGUUAUUAUUGGGCCUAAAACGUCCGUAGCCGGCUGAGUAGAUGCCUGUGUAAAUCGAACGGCUUAACCGUUCGAACUGCGGGUAGACCGCUCAGCUUGGGACCGGGAGAGUCACGAAGUACUCCGGGGGUAGAGGUGAAAUUCGUAGAUAUCGGGAGGAACACCAGUGGCGAAGGCGACUACCUGGCCUGUUCUUGACGCUGAGGCGCGAAAGCUAGGGGAGCAAACAGG
rnacentral:rRNA from 1 species